rnacentral:rRNA from 1 species
UACGUAGGGUGCGAGCGUUAAUCGGAAUUACUGGGCGUAAAGCGUGCGCAGGCGGUUUUGUAAGCCAGAUGUGAAAGCCCCGGGCUUAACCUGGGAAUGGCAGUGGAAACUAGAGAACUUGAAUCUGGCAGAGGGGGGUGGAAUGCCACGUGUAGCAGUGAAAUGCGUAGAUAUGUGGCGGAACACCGAUGGCGAAGGCAGCCCCCUGGGCUGAGAUUGACGCUCAGGCACGAAAGCGUGGGGAGCAAACAGG